UGGGGAAUAUUGCACAAUGGAGGGAACUCUGAUGCAGCGACGCCGCGUGAACGAAGAAGGCUUUCGAGUCGUAAAGUUCUUUUAUAUGGGAAGAUAAUGACGGUACCAUAAGAAAAAGCCCCGGCUAACUACGUGCCAGCAGCCGCGGUAAUACGUAGGGGGCUAGCGUUGUCCGGAAUCACUGGGCGUAAAGGGUUCGCAGGCGGAAAUGCAAGUCAGGUGUAAAAGGCAGUAGCUUAACUACUGUAAGCAUUUGAAACUGCAUAUCUUGAGAAGAGUAGAGGUAAGUGGAAUUUUUAGUGUAGCGGUGAAAUGCGUAGAUUUUAAAAAGAAUACCGGUGGCGAAGGCGACUUACUGGGCUCAUUCUGACGCUGAGGAACGAAAGCGUGGGUAGCAAACAGG
rnacentral:rRNA from 1 species